UACGUAGGGUGCAAGCGUUGUCCGGAAUUAUUGGGCGUAAAGACCUCGUAGGCGGUUUGUCGCGUCUGCUGUGAAAACUCGGGGCUUAACUCCGGGCCUGCAGUGGGUACGGGCAGACUAGAGUGCGGUAGGGGAGACUGGAAUUCCUGGUGUAGCGGUGAAAUGCGCAGAUAUCAGGAGGAACACCGGUGGCGAAGGCGGGUCUCUGGGCCGUAACUGACGCUGAGGAGCGAAAGCGUGGGGAGCAAACAGG
rnacentral:rRNA from 1 species